CCGGGGAUCGAGCCUACUACAUGGUUGUUUUUACAACUUUGCCUGCUAUCUGUUCCUGCUGCUAUGUAUUCUCUUGUUGCUGGCUGUUGGAAGACUGCUUUGGGGGGCAGCGUAGCUUUCCCUGGCCGGCGUAUGGAUCGCCGGAACCACCACCGCCGCCGACGGUGGUCACCGGGCAUCACCAUCAUGGGAUAAUGGGCUCUGUUAUAGGAGGCCCACCGGGCCCACCAGGCCCAUAUAGUCACCCCGGCCCAUAUGGUUACUCUGACGAACCGCCACCGCCUCCUUAUAGUUAUAGAUGAUUUUAUGCAUUUUCUUCACUGAAAUAAUGUUUUUCCCUUUUGUUUAUGACUUAAUUAUGUGUAUCUACACCUUUGUUGUCGCAUUUUUAAUUUGAUAUCAAUAAUGUUUGUCUCACAAA